GACGAACGCUGGCGGCGUGCUCAACACAUGCAAGUCGAGCGGAAAGGCCCUUUCGGGGGUACUCGAGCGGCGAACGGGUGAGUAACACGUGAGUAAUCUGCCCCUGGCUUUGGGAUAGCCACCGGAAACGGUGAUUAAUACCGGAUACGACCACUUCUCGCAUGGGAUGGUGGUGGAAAGGUUUUCGGCCAGGGAUGUGCUCGCGGCCUAUCAGCUUGAUGGUGAGGUAAUGGCUCACCAUGGCCUCGACGGGUAGCCGGCCUGAGAGGGUGACCGGGCACGCUGGGACUGAGACACGGCCCAGACUCCUACGGGAGGCAGGAGUGGGGAAGAUUGGACAAUGGGCGGAAGCCUGAUACAGCAACGCAGCGUGAGGGAUGACGGCCUUCGGGUUGUAAACCUCUUUCAGCAGGGACGAAGCGCAAGUGACGGUACCUGCAGAAGAAGCACCGGCCAACUACGUGCCAGCCGCCGCAGUAA
rnacentral:rRNA from 1 species